UUGAUCUUUUCAAGGGAGAAAAAAAUCAUC
rnacentral:piRNA from 1 species